GUUUGGAAGAUAAAAUGAAAUGUUGCGCGUAUGGCGUGUGUAAUUCCGACAACGGAGAUACAAAAAAGUUGGAGGGAGGGGUUACAUUUCAUUCCUUCCCAAAACCAAAGACCGAGAUGGAGAAAUUUCUGCUGUGGACUAAACAAGGUGGACUACCCCACCACCAGCAGCAUGUAAACAGAAGCCACUAUGCAAGCUAAGAUCCCACCACUGAUCAUGGAGAUGAGCUUCAGAUGUUGCGGGACAUGGUGGCCACUCAGAAGGCAGAGAUAACCAAGCUGACUGUACAACUAGAGGCAAAGGAUGUCCAGCUCCAACAACUUAGAUACAAACUCCAUUUACACACUACUUUGGUGUUAAAACCAGAGUCUGUGCAUGAAAGUGAUGUGUUAGGCUAUUUCCAGUAGGCUACUGCGCUUGAUUCACCUUUGAGCAGUUUAAUACCUUGUUGUAUGAGUUCAACAUUUUAAAUAAUCCAGGUACAGUGGCACACCAGACCUUCCUUUGUGUAGUGAGCUGUUAUUGACACUGAUGACAUUUAGACAAGUAUUUGGUUACAAAAGAUUCCACAUCAGUUUACAGAAUGUGAGCACAAUAUUUAAUCAGUCAACAUCAGCCCUGUGUGUAUUUAUUGUGUAUUAUGUAUUGAUUAUUUUGUUAUUGUGUAUUAAAUACCAUCCAUCAUCAUGCA